AAGGAGUCGACGGUUGCUAAAAAGAUUCCGACCGUUUAUAUUGAGAGGUUCAUGUAGCCUAUGGAUAUCAACGCGGUCAUUGACGAGGUUUCUAAGGAGGGUUGUAGUUUUCAUGUAAUAUGCACACAUAUGCUGGACUUGAGAGGUCUGUUUAAAACGAUUUUGUGUUACUCUGAAUGUCUUUGUCAGAGUUUCCAGUCAUCCAUUGCAUUAAGGAAGUAUCCCAGUGAUGCCCAAGGACUUCCCCCACACUACAAGCAUGCCAGGACCUGGCCCAAAUCCUACAGGACUCCCAUCUGGGCAUUAUUAAAACAGGUGAACCUGCAAGUAAGCACCCAAACGAGGGCAUUGCGUUCAU